UAAGAAACUAUACAUUAGAAUACGAAGCUUCUAACUUUGUGUUGUUAGGUUUGUUUUCUAACUUUCUUAU
rnacentral:tRNA from 1 species